rnacentral:rRNA from 1 species
AAUGAACGUUGGCGGCGUGGAUUAGGCAUGCAAGUCGAGCGAGAACCGGUUUCGGCCGGGGACAGCGGCGAACGGCGUAGUAAUGCAUCGGAACGUACCCUCUGGUCGGGGAUAGCUACGGGAAACUGUAGGUAAUACCCGAUGAUCUCUGCGGAGCAAAGGUGAGAUUCCGCCGGAGGAGCGGCUGAUGUGAUAUUAGCUAGUUGGUGGGGUAAUGGCCUACCAAGGCGAUGAUGUCUAGGGGGUGUGAGAGCAUGGCCCCCACGACCGGAACUGAGAUGCUGUCCGGACACCUACGGGUGGCUGCAGUCGAGAAUCUUCCGCAAUGGACGAAAGUCUGACGGAGCGACGCCGCGUGCGGGAUGAAGGCCCUUGGGUUGUAAACCGCUGUCAGAGGGGAUGAAAUCUUCGGAGGUACUCCUCCGAAGUUGACAGAGCCUCAAAGGAAGCACGGGCUAAGUACGUGCCAGCCGCCGCAGUAAGAC